UACGGGGGGGGCAAGCGUUGUUCGGAAUUACUGGGCGUAAAGGGCUCGUAGGCGGCCAACUAAGUCAGACGUGAAAUCCCCAGGCUCAACCUGGGAACUGCGUCUGAUACUGGAUGGCUUGAAUCCGGGAGAGGGAUGCAGAAUUCCAGGUGUAGCGGUGAAAUGCGUAGAUAUCUGGAGGAAUACCGGUGGCGAAGGCGGCAUCCUGGACCGGCAUUGACGCUGAGGAGCGAAAGCUAGGGGAGCGAACAGG
rnacentral:rRNA from 1 species